rnacentral:rRNA from 1 species
UGCAAGUCGAACGGUGAAAGCGGAGCUUGCUCCGCUGGAUCAGUGGCGAACGGGUGAGUAACACGUGGGCAACCUGCCCUUCACUUCGGGAUAACUCCGGGAAACCGGGGCUAAUACCGAAUACGACCUUUGCAGGCAUCUGCGGAGGUGGAAAGUUUUCGGUGAAGGAUGGGCCCGCGGCCUAUCAGCUUGUUGGUGAGGUAGUGGCUCACCAAGGCGACGACGGGUAGCCGGCCUGAGAGGGCGACCGGCCACACUGGGACUGAGACACGGCCCAGACUCC